UGAAUCUCUGAUUGACCACCUGAGGUGAGCAAUGAGUCAUCCGUGGGAGCACAGGUGAAGGCAAUUCACCUGUGCUAUGAGAAGGGGAGCCUUGCUCCACCUCUUCUAGAUCCCAUUUAAAUGCUGACUAUCACUGGUGAAGGAUCUCUUUUGGAGAUUGUUUCUUUUGGAGUUUUCUCAGCGAGCCCAGGAUAAGGGGCCCCACACCUGGUUGCAGUAUUCCAGAUGGAGCAUCAUGAGGGCAGAGUACAGAGGGACAGUCACCUCCCCAUCCCUGCCUGCCACCCCUCUUCUGAAGGAUCUCAGGAUACUAUUGGCCUUCUGUGCUGCAAGAGCACACCUCUGGUUCAUGAUCAGUUUUUCAUCCACCAGGAUCCCAAAGUCCUUCUCUGCAGGGCUACCCUCAAGGAGUUCUUCUCCCAGUCUGUAUAUAUAUCUGGGACUACUCCAACCCAAGUGUGAAAGUUUGCACUUUGCUACGUUGAACCUCAUUAAGUUCACGCAGGCUCACCUUUGAAGUUUGUUGAGGUCCUGGAUGGUGUCCAUUCCAUCUGUGUCAACCACAGCACUUGGCUUGAUGCCCAAGGGAGCAAUUUUCAAAAUUGAAAAAAAAAAAAAAACUAUAAUUGAUCCAAGAAGGGUGAUUGAAGGAUCCAUCCACUGUAUUCUAGAGAUGUUUGCAUGUGGCUGGGAAGAGCCCAGUGAUAUUGUUACAUAACAUUGCAGAAAAGCUUACAAAUCAAAUUCAUAAUAUAAUUCUCAACAGGGAUGUAUCAUUUUGGUGAUGUAAUAUACAUCUUUGGCUGUGAAAGUGAAACUUACUAAGUAAGUUAAGAGUUUUAAGUGCAGCAAUGAAAUUUAGAGUUCUUGCAAGAGACAUUUAAUGCUAUGUUCUCUGUAACAUGCAAUCAUGAAGUUAAUCUGUCUACCAGAAGAAGAAAACUAAAAUGUAUGGAACUCAACAUUACAAGUUAGUGUUGCAGAUCCAGCAUGAAUGUAAGAAUACCAGCACAAUUUUACUACAGGAAUGAUUCAGCUAGCAACUGCUGUGUAAUUUACUGGUGCAAAUUACUAGACUUCAUCAUUAUGUAAUAAUCAAAUUUCCCUUCACUUAAAAUUUAUUAGUGUUUGUUUUGGCAGUUUGUUUUUUUGUUUGUUUGUUUGUUGUUGUUUUUUAUAUUUCUCUAUUUUACACAAGAUAAUUACAUAUCUGACUGUCUCUGGGGUGAAGUCCGCAGUUUUCUCCAACACAACUUGGCUCCACUGUGAUCUCUACAGUACUUCGCGUGCUAUUUGCUCGUAAUCUCUGUAUGCUGAUGAGUGAGCAUGUCCCCUUGCACGGCUGCUGGAUCGAUGUGAGCGGGCUCGUGCAUUGCACGAAGGGCUCUGCCGUACGGCAGUUCGGUGGUCCCGUUCUGCUUCCGGAUCGGUUUUGGGCCGAGACACGAGAGACAUCACUCCGCCUCGCGCUCUUGCCUAGGAUCUCCCCGACGGCUGCAUCGGGAACCUGCGCGGGCGGCUGCAGCGAAGACGCUUCGCUUUGCGGCGUCCCAGAGGCGCAAGCGAGUUCCUCGCCGCGGCCCGGCUGGCUCUCGCGGGGGGCUACGCCAGGCCGCGCCGUCACGCUAUGACUCAGCCCCGGGCGAGGGGUGCAUGAGUACGGGAGAACGGCUCCACCCGGACCGGCGGGGGUGAGCGCGCAGGAGCGAGAGCAGCGCGGGUCCUUCUGGGCCCCGCAGGGCGGAGCACGUGGUUCCGCAGCCGCUCGCAGGGCGUCCCGCGGCCGUAGCGCUGCCCAAGGCACUCGAAUCCCAACUACGGCCGCCACCGCCUUCCCCAGCGGCAGGUGGCAGGAGCGGGCGGCCCCGACUUUCCUCCCUCUGCGGCAGCGGAGGCCGUAGCGGAGCCGGCACAGAGGUACUCGGAGUAGCUGCUGCUGUUGGUGAUGCAGAGUUAGCUCGGGAGGGGCGCGAGGGCUCCCCUUCUGCUCUCGUAUCCGCACGAGGCUCCGACGGCAGCAGCGCUGCUGCAGUGGGAAAGGCGAAGUCGCGGAGCGGUGAACGUGGGGCGCGGAGAAGGGUGCGCUGCUGCCGAGACGUUCGUCAGUUGGUUCUGCCGCGCGGCAGCAAAGCCCCCCGCAGAUGCACUGUUACCACAUCUCCACCCUCCCCCGGCAGAGGAUACAGAAGUGGAAAGGUAAAAAUGAGAAAACAUGGGCUUAGCCAUGUUAAAGGCAGUGUUACGGAUAAAGCAAAACUUCCUGAAUAACCAAUAAGGAAUUCAUUUGCUACUUCCCAUCAUAAAGCUACUGUUUAGCCAUUUGCAGGAAAGCAGGGCUUCAUCAUGAGUAACAGUUACUUGGGAAAACAAACGCUAUAACUGUGUUCUCCCCUCUGGUCUGCUUUGGGGCAGCCAUCCCAGCUGUCUUUACUCCACAUUUCUCGUACACCUCCAACUGACUGCUCACAGAUGCCCAAGGUGAGAAUCAGGAAAGGCCUCAUCUCUGUGUCAGCGCUGUUCAUGAGUAACUAAAACAUUUUGUUACCAACACUGUUCCAGUCACAAAUCUUAUUUGCUACAAUGAAGAAAAUUAAAUCUCUCCCAGCCAAUACUGAUACAGAUUAUAAGUUGAAGUGACAAUAUUAAAUGUUGUUGUGAAACUUUUGCUGGUCUGUUUCUGUCCAAGAUUGCAAAGCCUAUUUGUUUACAAAAUGAGAAAUUGGUGGUUUUUUUUUGUUUUACAGCAGAGUGUUUAUGUGUGUUCCAAGAAAGGUGUGGCUAGGGAAAGGUCAUGUUGCAAACUAAGUAGAUGAUAUUGGCUUCUUUGUAUUUAGGAAAGAAAUAACCGGUUUAAUUGUUAUAGAACAAUAUUUUACCAGCAAUUAAACACCAGUAAUUAAAUAAUUUAAACCUUCAAAAAUUAUGCUUCUGCCUUUGAUUCAUGUAAAAGAGGGAGAACACUGGCAUUUCAAAGAGAAGAAUUUAAACUAUCAUCAGAUAGUUAUAAAAAAAAUAAAAAAAUAAAAAAAAAUGAAAAUCUUGUUCAAGAUGUUUGUCAAUCUUUGAAACUUAUUUCAAUUUAAACACCAGUGUUUUGUGCCAUUGCUUUUGGCAAAGCUAUAAAGCAGAGAAGAGAGAAUGCUAUUUAUGACAAAUAAUAAAUUAAUAAGGCUUUUCACUAAUGGUGGACUUGUUUUAGGUAGAUCCCAGAUACACAAAUGUUAGAAUGUGUAGUGUUGCUGUUCUGUUAAUUCUACUGCUACUUUUUGGAGUCUGAAGUUUUGUAAUCACCUCUAUCAACUGACCCUUUGGAAUGCAUUUGUUUUGCCCUGACCCACCCUAAGGCUGGAAGGUAGAGGAAUAAGGUGAAAUUUAUUAGAAUAUAUAUAUAAACAUGUAUAUAGCAUGUAUAUAUUAGUGUGUGUGCAUAUAUAUAUAUAUAUAUAUAUAUGUAUAUAUAUAUAGACAAUGUAGACGUUGUGAAAAUACUGAGAUGAGCAGCAUAAACUGUCUUCAGCUGUCUCAACACUGUACUGAACAAACUACAAUGGAAAGAUACAGUGCCAAGGAGAUGUGGAGAAAAAUGAAUAAUGACCUGUGAAUGAAUGGCUCUUGAACUAAAUUAGCACUUUGCUUUGCUUGUUAAUUGUGGGAUGUAUACGAAAGAUGAUGGAAGAGUAGAUCUGAAAAUAGAAGUUGUACUGCAAAGGUAAAAACAGCACUCCAUUUGAAGGCCAAUGCUGAAUAAUUCCCAUCCCAAAAUUUUAAGAUGAGAUAGUGAAGGACCAAUGACAGAUGUUUAAUAAGUGUGUUGUGAUAGUAGUGGUACAGCAUGUGAUAGAAAGCAUAUGAGUAAUUCAUUUGUUUAUGAAAGGAAAAAAAAAAAAAGAUUGAGAUGUAUGGGAAUUCUAAAGCCACAUACAGGGCUUUAGAAAUUUUUAGAAGGACUGCAAAAAACAAAAACAGAAAAAAAACAAAAACAAACAAACAAAAAGCAUUAACUCAAUUGACAAGAAAUCUUUAUUAUGAGCUUGCAACAAAGGACAAGCUCAAAUGCAUCUGACCAAUGUUAUGCAUAUGCAAAAAGUAUAAAUCUUAGCAUAUAUUUAAAAAGAACAUUUCCAGUAACUGUAAAGUUUUUUCACUGUCACUUGCAAAUAUUUCUGAUCACCUGUGCUAGAGACUAACUGAAACUUGGCCAUUUGCACAAAAGCAAUUGGUCAGGAGUGUUUCUUGUAAGAUAUUGGAACAUCCUGUAUUGCUUGAUGAAAAAGUAAUAAAAAUGAAGACUGAAAGGAGAUAUGACUGCAGUCCAUUAAUGCAGGAGGGAGGAAGAAAGGCUUUUUACUCUUAGUAGCAAUACUGAAGAAGAACUAACUGUUGCAAAGCAGUUAUAAUGAUAUCAUUAGAUUGAUUUAGUAUUAAAGCAAAUCUGAAUCGUAUUAUAUUUGAAUUGUAACUGGAAUUAAAGCACUAAGCCUGAAUGAAUUAUUAAAACAAAAUAAAGUCUUUCAAAUAUGCUGGCAGCAUAUUUUUGAGGUUUUGAGGUACCAAGUACUCUCUAUACUGAGGAAGUAUAAAUGUACUGUUCCUUGUUAAUCUGACAUUAUAUAUUUCCUGACUAGAUUUCUCUGCUGUUAA